rnacentral:lncRNA from 1 species
UUUUUCAUCUUGGUUUAAGGGGGAAGAAAUUGAACACAGAGGAGGAGCCAAAGCAGUGUGAAACUUGAGGCUAUGCCCUUACCCUCCCCACUAGCAUCUCAGAAAUACACAAUUGUGAUUUGCAGCAUAGACAUGCCCAGACUGAAGAAAUCUAUUCAACGUGUACGCUUCUUCCUUUCUCCCAGUCAUCAGCUUCUUUAGAACACGGAAAAUGCGUAGUUGUUAGCUGAAAAGUGGUAAAUUUGGAGGUGUGCUGUCUUUGACUAUUUCACUUCUCUCCUUUUCAUGUAAGGCUUGUUAUGCUCUU